GCACAAGCGGUGGAUCAUGUUGUUUAAUUCGAUGAUACGCGAAGAACCUUACCAGGUCUUGACAUCCCCCGCGAUGCUUUAGAGAUAAAGCGGAGGUAUUCGGGGAGACAGGUGGUGCAUGGUUGUCGUCAGCUCGUGUCGUGAGAUGUUGGGUUAAGUCCCGCAACGAGCGCAACCCUAUUGCUAGUUACCAUCAUUAAGUUGGGGACUCUAGCGAGACUGCCAGUGAUAAACUGGAGGAAGGUGGGGAUGACGUCAAAUCAUCAUGCCCCUUAUGACCUGGGCUACAAACGUGAUACAAUGGCUGGAACAAAGGGAUGCGAAGCAGUGAUGUGGAGCGAAACCCAUAAAAACAGUCUCAGUUCGGAUUGAAGUCUGCAACUCGACUUCAUGAAGUCGGAAUCGCUAGUAAUCACGGAUCAGAACGCCGCGGUGAAUACGUUCUCGGGGUUU
rnacentral:rRNA from 1 species